CUCAGGAUGAACGCUGGCGGCGUGCCUAAUACAUGCAAGUCGAGCGAACAGAUAAGGAGCUUGCUCCUUUGACGUUAGCGGCGGACGGGUGAGUAACACGUGGGUAACCUACCUAUAAGACUGGGACAACUUCGGGAAACCGGAGCUAAUACCGGAUAAUAUGUUGAACCGCAUGGUUCAAUAGUGAAAGAUGGUUUUGCUAUCACUUAUAGAUGGACCCGCGCCGUAUUAGCUAGUUGGUGAGGUAACGGCUCACCAAGGCAACGAUACGUAGCCGACCUGAGAGGGUGAUCGGCCACACUGGAACUGAGACACGGUCCAGACUCCUACGGGAGGCAGCAGUAGGGAAUCUUCCGCAAUGGGCGAAAGCCUGACGGAGCAACGCCGCGUGAGUGAUGAAGGUCUUAGGAUCGUAAAACUCUGUUAUUAGGGAAGAACAAACGUGUAAGUAACUGUGCACGUCUUGACGGUACCUAAUCAGAAAGCCACGGCUAACUACGUGCCAGCAGCCGCGGUAAUACGUAGGUGGCAAGCGUUAUCCGGAAUUAUUGGGCGUAAAGCGCGCGUAGGCGGUUUUUUAAGUCUGAUGUGAAAGCCCACGGCUCAACCGUGGAGGGUCAUUGGAAACUGGAAAACUUGAGUGCAGAAGAGGAAAGUGGAAUUCCAUGUGUAGCGGUGAAAUGCGCAGAGAUAUGGAGGAACACCAGUGGCGAAGGCGACUUUCUGGUCUGUAACUGACGCUGAUGUGCGAAAGCGUGGGGAUCAAACAGG
rnacentral:rRNA from 1 species